rnacentral:rRNA from 1 species
GAUGAACGCUGGCGGCGUGCCUAAUACAUGCAAGUCGAGCGAACAGAUGAGGAGCCUGCUCCUCUGACGUUAGCGGCGGACGGGUGAGUAACACGUGGAUAACCUACCUAUAAGACUGGGAUAACUUCGGGAAACCGGAGCUAAUACCGGAUAAUAUAUUGAACCGCAUGGUUCAAUAGUGAAAGACGGUUUUGCUGUCACUUAUAGAUGGAUCCGCGCCGCAUUAGCUAGUUGGUAAGGUAACGGCUUACCAAGGCAACGAUGCGUAGCCGACCUGAGAGGGUGAUCGGCCACACUGGAACUGAGACACGGUCCAGACUCCUACGGGAGGCAGCAGUAGGGAAUCUUCCGCAAUGGGCGAAAGCCUGACGGAGCAACGCCGCGUGAGUGAUGAAGGUCUUCGGAUCGUAAAACUCUGUUAUUGGGGAAGAACAAAUGUGUAAGUAACUAUGCACGUCUUGACGGUACCUAAUCAGAAAGCCACGGCUAACUACGUG